UGCGUAGGUGGCAAGCGUUGUCCGGAUUUACUGGGCGUAAAGAGCGCGCAGGCGGUCGGAUAAGUCGAAUGUGAAAGCCCCCGGCUUAACUGGGGAGGGUCAUUCGAUACUGUUCGACUCGAAGGCAGGAGAGGGAAGUGGAAUUCCCGGUGUAGUGGUGAAAUGCGCAGAUAUCAGGAGGAACACCAAUGGCGAAGGCAGCUCGCUGGGACGGUACUGACGCUGAGGCGCGAAAGCGUGGGGAGCAAACAGG
rnacentral:rRNA from 1 species